AGAGUUUGAUCCUGGCUCAGGAGGAACGCUGGCGGCGCGCCUAACACAUGCAAGUCGAACGAGAGAGAGGGAGCUUGCUUCCUCAAUCGAGUGGCGAACGGGUGAGUAACGCGUGAGGAACCUGCCUCAAAGAGGGGGACAACAGUUGGAAACGACUGCUAAUACCGCAUAAGCCCACAGCUCGGCAUCGAGCAGAGGGAAAAGGAGCAAUCCGCUUUGAGAUGGCCUCGCGUCCGAUUAGCUAGUUGGUGAGGUAAUGGCCCACCAAGGCGACGAUCGGUAGCCGGACUGAGAGGUUGAACGGCCACAUUGGGACUGAGACACGGCCCAGACUCCUACGGGAGGCAGCAGUGGGGAAUAUUGCACAAUGGGGGAAACCCUGAUGCAGCGACGCCGCGUGGAGGAAGAAGGUCUUCGGAUUGUAAACUCCUGUUGUUGAGGAAGAUAAUGACGGUACUCAACAAGGAAGUGACGGCUAACUACGUGCCAGCAGCUGCGGUAAAACGUAGGUCACAAGCGUUGUCCGGAAUUACUGGGUGUAAAGGGAGCGCAGGCGGGAAGACAAGUUGGAAGUGAAAUCUAUGGGCUCAACCCAUAAACUGCUUUCAAAACUGUUUUUCUUGAGUAGUGCAGAGGUAGGCGGAAUUCCCGGUGUAGCGGUGGAAUGCGUAGAUAUCGGGAGGAACACCAGUGGCGAAGGCGGCCUACUGGGCACCAACUGACGCUGAGGCUCGAAAGUGUGGGUAGCAAACAGGAUUAGAUACCCUGGUAGUCCACACCGUAAACGAUGAUUACUAGGUGUUGGAGGAUUGACCCCUUCAGUGCCGCAGUUAACACAAUAAGUAAUCCACCUGGGGAGUACGACCGCAAGGUUGAAACUCAAAGGAAUUGACGGGGGCCCACACAAGCGGAGGAACAUGUGGUUUAAUUCGAUGAUACGCGAGGGACCUUACCCGGGCUUGAAUUGCAGAGGAAGGAUUUGGAGACAAUGACGCCCUUCGGGGCCUCUGUGAAGGUGCUGCAUGGUUGUCGUCAGCUCGUGCCGUGAGGUGUCGGCUUAAGUGCCAUAACGAGCGCAACCCCUCUCCAUAGUUGCCAUCAGGUUAAGCUGGGCACUCUGUGGACACUGCCACCGUAAGGUGUGAGGAAGGUGGGGAUGACGUCAAAUCAGCACGGCCCUUACGUCCGGGGCUACACACGUGUUACAAUGGCAGGUACAGAGAGCCGGUCGUAUGCAAAUACGAUCCAA
rnacentral:rRNA from 1 species